ACAGACUGCUUUUAAAAAACAGGAAAGCCACGCUGUGGGAGGAUCGCUUGAGCCCAGAAGUUCUGGACUAUAGCGUGCUAUACUAUCUGGGUGUCUGCACUAUGUUUAGCAUUAACAUGAUGACCUCCUGGGAGCAGGAGACCACCAGGUUGCCUAAGGAGGAGUGAACUUGUGCAGGUCAGAAAUGGAACAGAUCCAAGCUCCUAUGUUAAUCAGUAGUGGCAUCGUGCCCAUGAAUAGCCACUGCACUCCAACCUGGGCAACAUAGUGAGACCUU
ensembl:misc_RNA Metazoa_SRP Metazoan signal recognition particle RNA